rnacentral:rRNA from 1 species
GGGUUGUGAGGUUAAGCGACUAAGCGUACACGGUGGAUGCCCUGGCAGUCAGAGGCGAUGAAGGACGUGCUAAUCUGCGAUAAGCGUCGGUAAGGUGAUAUGAACCGUUAUAACCGGCGAUUUCCGAAUGGGGAAACCCAGUGUGAUUCGUCACACUAUCAUUAACUGAAUCCAUAGGUUAAUGAGGCGAACCGGGGGAACUGAAACAUCUAAGUACCCCGAGGAAAAGAAAUCAACCGAGAUUCCCCCAGUAGCGGCGAGCGAACGGGGAGCAGCCCAGAGCCUGAAUCAGUGUGUGUGUUAGUGGAAGCGUCUGGAAAGGCGUGCGAUACAGGGUGACAGCCCCGUACACAAAAAUGCACAUACUGUGAGCUCGAUGAGUAGGGCGGGACACGUGGUAUCCUGUCUGAAUAUGGGGGGACCAUCCUCCAAGGCUAAAUACUCCUGACUGACCGAUAGUGAACCAGUACCGUGAGGGAAAGGCGAAAAGAACCCCGGCGAGGGGAGUGAAAAAGAACCUGAAACCGUGUACGUACAAGCAGUGGGAGCACGCUUAGGCGUGUGACUGCGUACCUUUUGUAUAAUGGGUCAGCGACUUAUAUUCUGUAGCAAGGUUAACCGAAUAGGGGAGCCGAAGGGAAACCGAGUCUUAACUGGGCGUUAAGUUGCAGGGUAUAGACCCGAAACCCGGUGAUCUAGCCAUGGGCAGGUUGAAGGUUGGGUAACACUAACUGGAGGACCGAACCGACUAAUGUUGAAAAAUUAGCGGAUGACUUGUGGCUGGGGGUGAAAGGCCAAUCAAACCGGGAGAUAGCUGGUUCUCCCCGAAAGCUAUUUAGGUAGCGCCUCGUGAAUUCAUCUCCGGGGGUAGAGCACUGUUUCGGCAAGGGGGUCAUCCCGACUUACCAACCCGAUGCAAACUGCGAAUACCGGAGAAUGUUAUCACGGGAGACACACGGCGGGUGCUAACGUCCG